CUACGUGCCAGCAGCCGCGGUAAUACGGAAGGUCCAGGCGUUAUCCGGAUUUAUUGGGUUUAAAGGGAGCGUAGGCCGGAGAUUAAGCGUGUUGUGAAAUGUAGGCGCUCAACGUCUGACUUGCAGCGCGAACUGGUCCACUUGAGUGUGCGCGACGCAGGCGGAAUUCGUGGUGUAGCGGUGAAAUGCUUAGAUAUCACGAGGAACCCCGAUUGCGAAGGCAGCUUGCGGGAGCACCACUGACGCUGAGGCUCGAAGGUGCGGGUAUCGAACAGGAUUAGAUACCCUGGUAGUCCGCACGGUAAACGAUGGAUGCUCGCUGUGUGCUUAUUUUUAGUAUGCGGCUAAGGGAAACCAUUAAGCAUCCCACCUGGGGAGUACGCCGGCAACGGUGAAACUCAAAGGAAUUGACGGGGGCCCGCACAAGCGGAGGAACAUGUGGUUUAAUUCGAUGAUACGCGAGGAACCUUACCCGGGCUUGAACUGCCGGUGC
rnacentral:rRNA from 1 species